CGCCCCGCAAGGGGAGCGGCAGACGGGUGAGUAACGCGUGGGAACGUACCUUUUGCUACGGAAUAACUCAGGGAAACUUGUGCUAAUACCGUAUGUGCCCUUCGGGGGAAAGAUUUAUCGGCAAAGGAUCGGCCCGCGUUGGAUUAGCUAGUUGGUGAGGUAAAGGCUCACCAAGGCGACGAUCCAUAGCUGGUCUGAGAGGAUGAUCAGCCACACUGGGACUGAGACACGGCCCAGACUCCUACGGGAGGCAGCAGUGGGGAAUAUUGGACAAUGGGCGCAAGCCUGAUCCAGCCAUGCCGCGUGAGUGAUGAAGGCCCUAGGGUUGUAAAGCUCUUUCACCGGUGAAGAUAAUGACGGUAACCGGAGAAGAAGCCCCGGCUAACUUCGUGCCAGCAGCCGCGGUAAUACGAAGGGGGCUAGCGUUGUUCGGAUUUACUGGGCGUAAAGCGCACGUAGGCGGACUUUUAAGUCAGGGGUGAAAUCCCGGGGCUCAACCCCGGAACUGCCUUUGAUACUGGAAGUCUUGAGUAUGGUAGAGGUGAGUGGAAUUCCGAGUGUAGAGGUGAAAUUCGUAGAUAUUCGGAGGAACACCAGUGGCGAAGCGGCUGACUGGACCAUUACUGACGCUGAGGUGCCGAA
rnacentral:rRNA from 1 species